rnacentral:lncRNA from 1 species
CAGAGAGUGUGGGUGCUAGAGCCUUCUGCAGGGCUCGGGACACAUUCCCUGACACACCCAGGCCAAUAAUUUGCACUGGGAUACAGAGAGGAGGCUCGGGGCCUCUGUCAACAGAUUGCCAUCCACUUAGAUGAGUAAAUGGUGCUGGCCCCGUGGUGUGGUGACAUCUGUCUGUCUGUCUGGUCUAGCAUCCAGCACAGUCCUGGGCACAUGAAUUGGUGCUGAUGUUGCUGAAGGAGUGAAUGGGGGCCAGAAGGAAGGAGUGCUGGGGAAGAAGUAAGCCAUGGAGCAGGCAGGAACCACGGACAGAGGCCUCCCAGUCCACUUGGGGACAUAUCCGCAGAUGUGUGAACUCAGAGAGAUGUUCAAGUUUCCUAAGAGGGCUUCAAUCAUGGCUCACAGACUACUAAUUUCCAGUUUCUUCUCUGCCAGUCUGGAUGCCCAUGUGAACUUUAGAGAUAUCCAUCAGCUCCAUCAAUUCCCUCAACUACAUCUACCUAGCUUUUGAGCCCAGAAGAACCCAAUCAUGUGUGUUCUCCUCAGCUCCCAGGCUACUGAGCAAUGCUGGAGAAAAAUCACAAAACUAUACAGUUUGGUGUCUCUCCAGAAUUAUGGCUUCCAGCUUGAGUUGGGAAUUCAGAAUUACUUCAAAAUAUUUAAAUUUGUUCCUGGUCAGUUUCCUCCUUCAUUUCCCAGUUUCAUUUAUCACUCUAACUUGUUACCCAUCGCUGUCUGCUAUUAACCUUGCCUCCUUUUACACAGAGAAAACAGAGGCCAUCAAAUGGCAUUUCCCAUCACUCCAUCACUCCACCUCUGUCAAUGAAUCCACCAGUAACAUCUCAGAGAUCCUUCUGUCUAGCACUGAUGAUCUUAUUGUAUCAGUUACUCCUCCUUCCUUUUGUAUUUUCAUGCUCCUAUUGCCUGCCAACAUGCUUUAGCUGAUCUCAUCUAAAGAAACAAUGAUAACAACCACAAUAAACUAACAAACAAUAAACCAUCUUUAACAGACCUUAUCUUUUCCUCUUUUGCGCCACCUUCAAGCUUCCUAAACUCGGAUUUAUUCCUCAGUCCAUUACAAUCUGGUUUCUAAUUAAACAAUUUUUUGCCAGAAUCACCAAAAACUUCUUAAUUGCUAGCCUCCAAGGUCCUUUCUUGAACCUCAUUGUUUUCUUUCUUUUAAAAGUCAGGUUCACUGAAGUAUAAUUUACGUACAAUAAAA